UCCACCUAUGUGUUUGUGCAUUUAAUGUUAUGCAGGAGAAGCAAUUUCAUAGUUUGGAAAAUUUGACAAACUUUUUCAUGACCUAAGUUUGAGAGGCUAUGUAAGAUGGUUAUUGAUUGAUUAAAAAUUUGGAGGGAUCGAAGACAGACAUUCGUGGGGGACCCGUGAGCAUCACGUGACCCCAUUUGUAAGACAAAAGACAGGUUCUUUGCAUGAAUUUCGAUCUUUGUAGGACCUUUUCUCCAUACCAAGCUCAUGUUACCCACGUCAAUCAUACUCUUGUUCCACAGGUUUUAACUGGACAACUUCCAAGUCCCUUUUGCUUUGUAAAUCAUUAAUUCAUGUUGCAUUUUCUAGUGCCUAUGCUGGCUGUGACUUGGAUAAUCUUUUCAACACUUUGAUUAGAUAUCAAGAACUUGAUUAACUGUAAAUGUCAUCGACCACAUCGAUUAUUCCAAACAAAUGUCACUUCUUGUUUCCAA